rnacentral:rRNA from 1 species
UACGUAGGUGGCAAGCGUUUGUCCGGAUUUACUGGGCGUAAAGAGCGCGCAGGCGGUUAUUCAAGUCGAAUGUGAAAGCCCCCGGCUUAACUGGGGAGGGUCAUUCGAUACUGUUUAACUUGAAGGCAGGAGAGGGUAGUGGAAUUCCCGGUGUAGUGGUGAAAUGCGUAGAUAUCGGGAGGAACACCAGUGGCGAAGGCGGCUGCCUGGCCCAAUACUGACACUCAGGUGCGACAGCGUGGGGAGCAAACAGG